AUUGAACGCUGGCGGCAGGCUUAACACAUGCAAGUCGAACGAGUGGCGGACGGGUGAGUAAUGUUUGGGAAUCUAGCUUAUGGAGGGGGAUAACUACUGGAAACUGUGGCUAAUACCGCGUACCAUAGGAGCAGCCCAAGUUGGAUUAGGUAGUUGGUGAGGUAAAGGCUCACCAAGCCGACGAUCCCUAGCUGGUCUGAGAGGAGGACCAGCCACACUGGGACUGAGACACGGCCCAGACUCCUACGGGAGGCAGCAGUGGGGAAUUUUGCGCAAUGGGGGCAACCCUGACGCAGCCAUGCCGCGUGAAUGAAGAAGGCCCUAGGGUUGUAAAGUACUUUCAGUAGGGAGGCGUUACCGACAGAAGAAGCACCGGCUAACUCCGUGCCAGCAGCCGCGGUAAUUC
rnacentral:rRNA from 1 species